UCAGGAGAUCACAUGCAGUUAUAGUUAUCAUCUCAUAUCCUUGUGCUUCUUGUGUAUUUUACAGAAUCAGUACCUGAGCUGAAGACUUGAAGGGGUUGACUUUGUGAAUGACUCCUUUCAACACACCAGGAUUCUGAAACACAGCAUCACCAGGUUAAAUAUAAUAACCAUCAUAGAUGUUUCAUAAGAGCCAGUUACUGUCCUGCUUUGAAAACUUAUUCUUUAAUUAAAUGUCCAACAAAAACUUGCUGUAACCUCCAGUUCUCUACUUUUAGUGUGAAUCCAAUUUCAGAAAUAUCCUCAAUAACCUGGAGAAUAACAGGGCAUAAAUACAGAGUUCUAUAUUCAAAUAUUUCACAGUAAGUCUAAGUACAUGAUGAAGACUCUGAAUGAGUGAAAUCUUCCUCUCUCCCACCUGAUUGGAUGCGGGGACUCGUUCCAGGGACUCGGCAGAAGGAGCUUUAGGAACCUGAGACAGAAUCCAGCCUUUCUUCAGCUCCCGCGAGUCUUUGACGAAGAACUUGUCCAUCCCUCUGAAGAGGCCCUGCACCGACGCUAUGGCCCCGUCCGUGAUCUCCGUCGCUCGCAUCACGGGCGAGUCGACCAAGCUGAUGAUCUGGACGGCCCUGCGAGUCUCCCAGUUCUCCGAGUAGUGCUGGGUGCCCGACCUGAGGAAAGGGUGGCCGCGGAGCUUGUACAAGCCCUUAUCGAUAAAGUGGAGGAUCUUCCCCAGGUCCAGCAGGGUUCGAGGUCACAGUGUCAACUCACCUUCUUCCUGUCGUGCAUGUUGUUGGAGUUAUCAGACAUGGCUACCGAGGCUGAAGCGAUUCCUCCGGCCGUCGCCACCCCGACGCCGACAGCUGUAAUCACCAGAGAG